rnacentral:rRNA from 1 species
UACGUAGGGCGCAAGCGUUGUCCGGAAUUAUUGGGCGUAAAGAGCUCGUAGGCGGUUUGUCGCGUCUGCUGUGAAAACCCGAGGCUCAACCUCGGGCCUGCAGUGGGUACGGGCAUGACUGGAGUUCGGCAGGGGAGACUGGAAUUCCUGGUGUAGCGGUGAAAUGCGCAGAUAUCAGGAGGAACACCGGUGGCGAAGGCGGGUCUCUGGGCCGAUACUGACGCUGAGGCACGAAAGCGUGGGGAGCAAACAGG